AAUCAUGGAUCCCAGCAGAGGUGGUGAUGGUGGCAGCGGGAGCAGCAGCAGCAGCAGCAGCAGCAGCAGCAGCAGCAGGGACUCCACACCCAACUGCUGGGACCAAAUGGUUGAGGUCCAGUGUGAUAACCUCAGCAUGGCUUUCAGCCUGCAACUCAACGUUAAUGAGCAGGCAGCAGCCCUGGAGGCCCUUCGGAAUCUGUGGAGUCCUCUCAAGGACAGUCAUUGUGUGAGGGUUCUAAUUCUACUGUUAGCAUGGAACUUUCAGAACCUGUUGUAGGAAAUGGAGAGACUGAAAUGCCCCCAGAAGAAUCAUGGAAGCACAAAGAAUAAGUGAAGCAGAGCCAGAGGGUUGGUUCCUCAGGAGAUGGAAGGCCACCAGAGGAAGGUACCCAAGAAAUGAUGGAGGAAGAAGAAGAAAUACCAAAACCUAAGUCAGUGGUGGCACCACCAGCAGCUCCUAAGGAAGAACACGUAAAUUCAUCGGGCAUGUUGAUGCAGGCACGACAACCAUUGGAGGACAAAUAAUCUGACUGGAAUGGUCGACCAAAGGACACUUGAGGAAUAUGAACGAGAAGCUAAAGAAAAAAAACAGAGAAACUUGGUGUUUGUCUUGGGUCUUAGACACAAAUCAGGAAGAAUGCGACAAGGGUAAAACAGUAGAGGUGGGUCGUACCUAUUUUGAAACGGAAAAGAAGCAUUUUACAAUUCUAGAUGCUUCUGGCCCUAAGAGUUUUGUUCCAAAUAUGAUUGGUGGCGCCUCUCAAGCUGACUUGACUGUACUGAUAAUCUCAGCCAGGAAACGAGAGUCUGAGACUGGAUUUGAAAAAGGAGGACAGAUGAGAGAACAUGCAAUGUUGGCAAAGACAGCAGGUGUCAAACGGUUCAUUGUGCUUAUUAAUAAUAUGCAUGAUCCAACGAUAAACUGGAGCAGUAAGAGAUGUGAAGAAUAUAGAGAAACUCGUACCAGUUUUGAAACAAGUUGGCUUCAAUUCCCCCCCCCCCAAGACAUUCAUUUUAUGCCCUGCUUAGGACUGAUGGGAGCAAUUCUUAAAGAGCAAUCAGAUUUCUGUCCUUGGUACAUUGGCUUACCAUUUAUUCCAUAUCUGGAUCAUUUGACAAAUAGAUCAGUUGAUGGACCAAUCAGGUUGUCGAUAAGUGCAAGGAUACAGGGAUGUGGCCCUGGGAAAGCUGAAAUCUGGACCUAUUUGUAAAGGCCAGCAGCUUGUAAUGACGCCAGACAAAGUACAGUGUGGGAGUUCUUGGGGUACUUUCUGAUGUAGACCUCACAACCAGACUGAAAGGAACCGAAGAGGGGAGAUUCUUCCAGGAGUCGUUCUUUGUGAUCUUACUAAUCUUUGUUGUGCUGGACACACAUUGGAUUCCCAGAUAGUGAUUAUAGAUCACAAGUCCGUCAUCGGCCCAGGGUCUAAUGCGGUGCUGCAUAGUCAUACCUGUAUGGAGGAAGUCGCCAUAACAGCCUUAAUCUGCUUGGUAGACAAAAAACCAGGAGAAAAAAGUAAGACUCGACCCAUUUUGUAAAACAAGAUCAAGUAUGCAUUGCUCGUUUAAGGACAGCAGGAACCAUCUGCCUGGAGACCUUUAAGGACUUCCCUUAGAUGGGACGUUUUACCUUAAGAAAUGAGGGUAAGACCAUUGCAAUUGGAAAAGUUUUGAAACUGGUUCCAGAAAAAGACUAAGCAUUUCCUUGAUGACCUUGCACAAUUUUCCUGUGCGGAAAAUUGACUGCAAGAGCCUACUUCACACUGCCUUCUCUUACUUCCUGCCCAUUGACAAA